UCUUGAUUAAACAAGUGUAAGUUUUAGCAUUUCACACCUCUAGGGCUUGGGAUCCCCAUGUAAGCUAACCGUGGAGAAACCCUCACUCUAGGACUCGGUCUUGGAGAUGGGAUUGGUCCAUACGAAUAGGCUGGUGAGACACGAGGUGAGAGAUUGACUUGCUCCAAUGCUUGUGCCUGUAGCUCCACUGGAUAAUCUCUAACACACCCAAUUCUUGGACCGUAUCCACUUGACCAUUUACAAGAAAGUCUCUUCGCAUGAUCAAACACUGGUCUCGCUCUCUCUUCUUGCCCUGAAGGCAACUCAACUUCUUCUGAUACUUCUUUUGGUUCAUCUUCUUCUUCAGUAGUGGAUUUGAAUGACGACGAAUACUCUUCAUUCACAGCACAUCUCUGCAAUACAUAUUAAAUUUAUAUCUCGUUAAUACAAAGAUGUCAAGAACACGAAAGAAUGUAAUGUUUUUAUUUGUUUCCUUACCUUAACAUUGGUGAGAACAACAUUGUGCUCCUCCAAGAAACUUAUGAACUCCUUGAAGUUUUCUUCUGUUGGGAGAUAGUGUCCACUAUAUGGCCAUAUAGCCUGAAGAGGAGUAAGACCAUUUUAGUUUACACAAGAUGAGAUUCAUACACGAUGGAGAAGCAAGACAUGUAACUUAAGUACCUCAAGGAUCCCAUCACGGGCCACCAAUCUUCCUGCAGCGGUUGUGGCUCCUCCAGAUAAGAAACUAGAGUGCUGGAAAACGCCUUUCUUCUUCUUCCCUACGUAUAAGGUUCUAGUCGUGCUAAGUACAAAUAUGGACUUUGAUUCAUCAGUUGAGUUGAUCAGAUCCAUGCUUUGUUUGUACAUUAGUCUCCCAUCUUCCACUAUCACUUCAUAUGCUUCUCUCUCCAUCUGAACGUUUGAAGAAACCACAAAGAGUGAUGAGUAAUCAAGAAGGUAAACCUAGCUAACUAGUACUCCUGUAAGAAACUCACUGGUCCGAGAUAACUGAUGCAUUGUUUCUGCAGAACACUUCUUGGGUGUUUCUCAAGAUUUACGUCUUUUCCGUCUCCUAUAUCCAACCUUUAGUUUCAAAUGAGUUGAAACGGAGUUUAAAACAGAUUCAAAAACAAAAAGAUCUAAGAUGAAUGUUUGGUUCUAACACUAACCAGUAAAAGAAUGGCUGUGAGCUCUUGCUCUCUGACCAGACAUCAUAAUAGAAGUGCAAGUUGUGGCCAUAACGAUGACGUGGGUCAAUCUGUUGAUAAAAGAAAAGACGAUCAGAUUAGAUUCCCAACAUCAAAGAGGAACCUAUAACUUUGACCUUGUGUUCUACUACCCAAUUUCCAUGACUUAAAUCUAGGUGCACCAAUAAUCUAGAUAGUUCUUUUAGGAUUAAAAAAAAAAACACUUCUAGUAAUAAAUAUAACUUCCUAUAGAAAAAAAUAUAUUUAAAAGUAUAAAUAGGAAUUAAAAAAAAUUGUAAUUUAUUCAUUCACACAAUCAAUAAACAAAUCCUAAAAAUAGGUGUUUGUAUCAGUCUAAUUGUGCUCUAUAAUUUUUUUUAUUUCCUCGAGUUUAGGUCGCAGAUUCACUUGACAAAAUUCAUCGAUAUGAUUCUUGACAUGUCCUAUCAAUUACCAAAAAGAGGUCAUGGGGACUUACCGCUUCAAGCCAAUGCUGAAGAGCUAAUUUCUGAGCCUUUUCAUCUUUUGACAAGCCUUUCCCAACCUGCAAGAUUGAGACCACAUUUGUUUUUUCAUAAGAGCAUCAUUAUUGGGAGUAUCUAGCUAGUAGGAGUUCUCAAAGUACAAUAAAUUUAUAAUUAUUAUAAAUUAUUAUGUUGGAUAUCUCAAAAUCAUGAGAACCACACACCAGAGUAUCUCAAAGUAUGUUUGGUGUAGAAUUCACGAGAUUUUGAGAUACCUUUAUUUAUCUAUACAUACACAUGUGUUUAUAUUGAUAAUCCCUUGACAUGCUUUAACAAAGAGAAAUAGUGAAACUAAUAACACCUUGACUUAAAAGUAAGCAGAGAGAAAGAACUUGUGAAAAUGAAGUCAGACCUUAGCGGCUCGUGUUCUAGCUCGCACCCAUUUUGAAGCAGCGGGCUCAUGUUUCUCUUCUUCAAAGAAAGACACAGAGCUCAGGUCCAGAGUUGCAGCAUCAAGAGUCUUCCACCUAUAACGUUACAAGCAAUAACAACAGUUAAGUUAAAUCAUCUUUAAAAAACAUUAAAAAGAUGAAAAUGGUUUGUGCAACUCACCAGAGCUCCUCAACGACGACAGCACAAUCUGCUAAGUUCCUUCUUGUACGGUAACUCUUGUACACCUUUUGUAGCGUAGUUGCAGCUGCAUCAAGCUCGGUGACCGGUCUAGGUGAGAAGAACACAAAAGGCUCAGGUGGAGUUACUGUGGGUUUCUUUAUUUGGAUUCUCUCACAGUUUCUCCCGUUCAAAGUGUUAUGAGUUGACUUCUUUGUCUCAAGAACCUUAAAACCUGAAUCAUUUUUUGUUUCCUCAGUAUUUGAGCUCAAUUUGUGAGCUGCAGCAUCCAAACUCUUCUGCCUACAACAUUUGAAGCAACACUUAGAUUAGUGUAAACAUCUUUAUAAGACAUCACAAGAAGAAGAUCAAUCAAGUAACUCACCAAAGCUCCUCUACAAGGACAGCACAAUCUGCUAAGUUCCUUCUUGUCCGGUAACUCUUGUACACCUUUUGUACGGUAGUUGCAGCUGCAUCAAGCUCGGUGACCGGUCUAGGGGAGAAGAACACGAAAGGCUCAGGUGGAGUAAUCGUAGGUUUCUUUAUUUGGAUUCUCUCACAGUUUCUUCCAUUCAAAGUGCUAGGCGUUGACUUCUUUGUCUCCCAGACAUCAAAAUUUGAAUCAGUCUUGGUAUCUUCAGGAACCUCCCAGCUGUUGAAACUCAACGACCGCUGCAUAGUUGGUUUCCGAUUAAUCUUAGGAGAGUUCUGGUGAGUAGUGUUAUCUCUAUUGAAACUGUUGGUUCUUGAAGUCAAGCCUCCGUCUUUAAUUUUCAAGCUAAGGGAGCCAACUUCAAGACCCAUGGACACAAUAAAGCCAGAGGAUACUUCCAAAAUAUAUUAAUAUAGAAACCUCCUGUACACGUCAAUACAGAUGAGUAUCAGCCUUUAAUUUAAUUGAAAUAAAACUAUAGUCUUAUUAAUAGUAGCUACACCAACCAAACAUUGAUAAAAACAUAUCGUCCAGACAUCCCGACAAAUACCUUUUGUUAAGUGAUUAGUAGAUAGAAGAACCAAAACAAAUGGCACCAAGAGAAAGAUGAGCUACAAACAAUUAAAAGAAUUUUAAAACAAUGUGGAGAAAUCUUUUCUUAAUUCUCCAAUUUUGUGUAGAUUGCUGUAGUCCAGCGGUAUAGUGUGCAACAACUCGUUCAGUUCAAAAAAAAAAAACAAUGUGGAGAAAAAGGAAACGAGGGAUUUGAAUAAUUGAAUAUGUCCAACAUAGGUUGAAGAAGACUUAUAUAGCUAUGUAGGCAUAGAUAUGUGUAGUGUGGGCAGUUGGAAGACUAGUAAUAGAGUAAAAGUCUUAAUUACAUAAUCUUUGAAGACGGAAGAUUCAAACUUGGUGUGUCUGAGAAAGAUGAACAUUUGAAUAUUAUAGAAAAGGGUGGGUUAGGAGAAAAUAGAGGAUGUGGGGGUCCUAUUAGAUAUGGAGGCUAUACUGAAGCCUCAAGGUAAGUUCAUGGAAGUUAUUGAGAAAAGGACUAUACACAUGAUCUAUUCCAAUUCUUAAUUAAUGUUAGUGAUUUGAUAUUCUGAGUUUGAUUUUUCCAAUAGAAAUACAACUAACAACUGGUCCUAAAGAUGGUCUUAAAUGUGAUUGGUGUUCAAAACAAAAUGUGUCGUCAAAAGUUAUUGCUCCCUUUUCACACGGACUGAGAAAGUAGCGAAAUAUAUGUAAGUUGAUAUUAAUUACAUCUUUCUGAUCAAUAGUAUUUGAGAUAAAUAAAAUUAUUUAUAAAACCAAUAUAGUUUGCAAUUAAUUUAUAGUUGAAAGUAAGUAUAAUUUGUAUUGGAAUUGCAAAGUGACACUUUUUGUGUAACAUGAAAAAAAUGCUAGUAAAAAAAAAAAAAUAGAAUGAUAUUUAUUAUGAAACAGACAGUAUAUUAUUAUAUUUUUCUUUUUUUCUGUGUGAAUUUAUAUAUUAUUAUUAUUAUUAUAUAUUAUUAUAUCUUUGUCAUGACUUUGUGACUAGUCGAUGCGUGCGGGUCAAGCAUGUUUGUCUAGAGUGCAUGUGGUUUAUAUUGCACUUGUUAGUUGGUUACUAAUGACUUUCUUGGAAUUGAAGGGUUCGAAAUUGAAAACUUUAUUAUGAGAUCAAGUAAAAACAUAGAGGAUAUUCUAUAGUUAAGCGGAAGUAUUUUCGUGUCUAGUCACAAUAUGAAUCUAUUUGUAGAAAAAUGCUCUAAUUUCUGGAAUAUUUGUAAUUGACAAUUUAUUCGUCAACUAAAUGUGAGUUAACUUUACAAAGUAUGCUUCAAUAUUUGUCAAUGUUAAAAAUAAAUGUAGAUUGAUAAGUUUGUUAUAAAUCCAUGAUAUGGAUAUGUGGAUUGCCAUUAACCAUUAAGGAGGUUUACAUCUGACCCGACUAUCCGGUCCGUCUACACCCGUCUCCGGUCCGUCUACAUCCGACCAAGACUAGUCAAGAUGAAGACUCAUUCAACCGGAGCAUUUAUGAGCUUUGACCAAGUCUAGAUAUUUGUAGUCAAAUGUAUUAAAUGUGUAGAUUCUCUCCUUUGUGUAAACCCUUAUGAACCUCCACUAUAUAUUGAUAGUGAGAGCUAAUGAGAAAGACACAACUUUCAAAGCAACACUUCUCUCAUAUUUCUAACACGUUAUCAGCACGAUUGUGCUCUCCACCUGAGAAAUCUCUCUCAGCCGGCGCAAGGCGUAUUGAAGUUGAGCAGGUGAAGUUCAACAGGUGGAUGAAGCCGGAUGAGCUUUAUUCAGAAUAUGUGAGGCUGAGAAGGUCGGUUCUCAGGAGGCUGCAAGAGAUGCAGAAGGUGAGCAUGUUUUUUGCUCUGGCUUCAAGAAGUAUUUGAAGCAACUCUGAAGAUUCUCGGAGUAGUCGAGCACUAGGGUGUUUAGCACUGUCUGGCAUUUCACGAGUUGGCAACAUGGUAGCUGCAGAUAGAGCUGAUUAAUCAUUAAGGUGGAGAUUGUUACGUUGGUGAUGAAGAAUCAGUUAUAUUGGAAGCUUAAACCACACCGAGAUUGAAAAUUGAGUUAUAUGGCGUUUUUGGUUAAACGGCCGACUAAUAUUACUCAAUGGUUUACGGUUAUUGGAAACCGGUUAUCAGUUGUAACUACCCUUGCCUAAUAUAAAAGCAAGGCUCGUGAGUUGUAUUAGAUAUCAGAGAAAGAUAGAUUAUACUAGGGUUACAAACUUUAGGUCACGACCGUUGUGAUCUUGGAAGAGUUUAGUAAUUUGCCUUGCCAGGCCCCAGGGACGUAGCCCCACCGGUGAACUCUUGGUCAUCAAAUAAACUAUGUAUUGAGGUUUAGUCAAGACGACCGGACUUGUUCAAGUUGGGCUAACUUGCACAAGUCACGCGCGUAUGGACUAUGGGCCUAUUUGACAAAGCCCAUUAGGUCAAAUUCUGAUUAUAUUAGUUGGAGAGGUCACGACAGAUGACCUAACACAAGACAGACACAAGUGAAACACAGAGGAGAGGCACGAAAGAGUGGAGCUCGAGAGAGCUCAAGACCAGGGCUUAGUCUGAAGAGAGAGAGCUAGAGAGAACUAGGUUCUCGGUACCCUAGCUAGGCUCUUCCCUAUAUACUUGUAUCUCUAGGUGAUUUGUAACAGAGAUCAAGAGAGGUCAACAUAAACAAUAACCUCUGGAUAUUGUACUCUCGUGUUUUUGAUAUAAUGGAAAGUUGAGAGACCGAUUUCUCUCUCCGGUGAGUAUAGCUCCUUCUUCACAUCGAGGAAGGGAGGUGAACACCGGGUUAACAAAAGUGUCUUGUGUUCCUUCUUAUCUUGCUUGAUUUGUGUUCCGCGUAUUUGAUUAGUGACUAGGUUUGCGAUAAAUAACUACUGUAAGAUUCUAGGAAAGAGAAAAAUUCCCUAACGAUUAUGUUUUGAGCCUAGCUUUUGUUCUUGUUUCAAUAAUUGUGGAUGGUCUCUGUUUUGGUUCGUGACAAAAGUGUCUUUCUAGGUGUUCAUAUGAAGUUCCAAAUGGUGUUAUUUGUGUUAUUAUAUGGUACCGGUUUAGGGUUGUGCGAGCUUUAAGGUUCCGACAAAUUGGUCUUUAGAAUAGGAAGUUGCUUCAAGUCUAUAAACAAGCUUCAUUGACUUGUUUCUGUCCGCAUUUAAAGAUCGGUCCAUUCUUCCCCAGUGGUCACUAUCAUCAUGACAUCUGUUUCAAGUAUUCAACUCUUUCUACGAGACUUUCAUCUUAAGUUUUAGCUUGCCAUAUCUUCUUUUGUUCAUAUCCUUGUAGUUUCGUUUUUGAGUUUCUCGUUUGGCUCCAGAAAGAUUACGAUUCUUAUCAGUUUAUGGCUCAGAAAGGAAUGUGUUUUUUGCGGACUUAUGAACAACAUCCACGUUUUUAUUUAUUCAAAUAUUUGGAUCUAAACAGCCCACAAAACGAUCAUACAAAGAACUACUCGAAACAACAAAAAAUCUUGCAAUUCACGAAAUAUACAAAAGAUAUAAAAGAACAAAGAAAGACGGAGGCUAGCUUCUCCUCUUCUAACCUAUUCUUUCUUGAUUAAACAAGUGUAAGUUUUAGCAUUUCACACCUCUAGGGCUUGGGAUCCCCAUGUAAGCUAACCGUGGAGAAACCCUCACUCUAGGACUCGGUCUUGGAGAUGGGAUUGGUCCAUACGAAUAGGCUGGUGAGACACGAGGUGAGAGAUUGACUUGCUCCAAUGCUUGUGCCUGUAGCUCCACUGGAUAAUCUCUAACACACCCAAUUCUUGGACCGUAUCCACUUGACCAUUUACAAGAAAGUCUCUUCGCAUGAUCAAACACUGGUCUCGCUCUCUCUUCUUGC
rnacentral:lncRNA from 1 species